rnacentral:rRNA from 1 species
GAUGAACGCUGGCGGCGUGCCUAAUACAUGCAAGUCGAGCGAACGGACGAGAAGCUUGCUUCUCUGAUGUUAGCGGCGGACGGGUGAGUAACACGUGGAUAACCUACCUAUAAGACUGGGAUAACUUCGGGAAACCGUAGCUAAUACCGGAUAAUAUUUUGAACCGCAUGGUUCAUAAGUGAAAGACGGUCUUGCUGUCACUUAUAGAUGGAUCCGCGCUGCAUUAGCUAGUUGGUAAGGUAACGGCUUACCAAGGCAACGAUGCAUAGCCGACCUGAGAGGGUGAGCGGCCAAACGGAAAGUGAGACAAGGUCCAGAAUCCGAGGGGAGGCAGAAGGAGGGAAUCUUCCGAGAGGGGCAAAAGCCUAAAGGAGCAACGCCGCGGGAGUGAGGAAGUUCUAGGGAUAGAAAAACUCUGUUAUGGGGGAAAAACAUAUGGGAAAGAAACUGUGAAAAUCUUGACGGUACCAAAUCAAAAAGCCACGGCAAACUACG